UUUCUUGUCUCCUUUCACUAUGUGUUUUCAAAUAACCUGUCUUCAUGCUUACUAAUUCUUCUGCUUGAUUACUUCUGGUAUCAGGAGACUCUGACGCGUUCUUUAGUAUGUCAAAAUUUGCAUUUUUCACUGCCAGAAUUUCUGCUUGAUUCUUUUAAAUUAUUUUUAUCUCUUUGUUAAAUUUAUCUGAUAGAAUUCUCAAUUCCUUCUCUGGGUUAUCUUGAAUUUCAUUGUGUUUCCUCAAAUCAGUUAUUUUGUAUUAUCUCUGUGAAAGAUCACAUAUCUCUGUUUCUCCAGCAUUGGUCAUUAGUGCCUUAUUUAGUUCAUUUGGAUGGUGUUGAUGCUUGUGGAUAUUCACUGGUCUCUGGGUGUUGAUGAGUUAUGUAUUUAUUGUAGUCUUUGCAGUCUGGGUUUGUUUGUACCCGUUCUUCUUGGAAAGGCUUUCUAGGUAUUCAAAAAGACUUGGGUGUUGUGAUCUAAGUUGUAUCUGCAUUAGAGGGCACCCCAAGCCCAGUUAUGCUAUGGUUCUUGCAGACUCAUAAAGGUAUUAUUUUGGUGGUCUUAGAUAAGAUCCUGAAGAAUUCUCUGGAUUACCAUGUAGAUACUCUUGUUCCUUCCCCUUACUUUAUCCCAAACAGAGUCUCUCUAUCUGUGCUGAACCUCCUGGGGCUGGGGAUGAGAUGAUACAAGCACUCCUGUGGCCACCACCACUGAGUCUGUGGGUUAUACCUAAAGCCAGCACAGCCCUAGGUGUAAUCUAAGGCUUGUUGUAGUCACUACUUGGCUAUUGCCUAUGUUUGCUCAAGGCAUUAGGACUCUACAAUCAUGCAGAUGGUGAAGCCAGCCAGAUGUGUAUCCUUCCCUUCAGGGUGGCAAAUCCCCCGAGGCCCUAGGCAGGUCCAGAGAUGCUGUCCAGGAACCAGGGACUGCAGUUAAAAAUGAAAAGUCUACCUGUGUUCUACUGCAGCUGAGCUGGCCCUCAAACCAUGAGACACAGUCCUUUCCACUUUUCCCUCCCAUUUCCACAGGCAGAGGACCCUCACCUCACGGCCACCACCACCAUGUGCACACAAAAGAUACUGCCAGACUACCACCGAUGGGUCUCAUUCAGCUUGUGGUGAAUGCUGCCUGGCCUGGGAGUCACUCUUCAGGGCAGUGGGCUCCCCUAUGGCCCAGGAAAGGUCCAGAAAUUUUGUCCAAGAGCCAAGUCCUGGAAUUGGGGAUCCCAAGAGCCUGCUCAGUACUCUUUUCCACUGUGGCCGAGCUAGUACCUAACAUGCAAGACAAAGUCCCCAUUACUUUUCCUUCCGCUUUCCUCAAGCAGAAGGAGUCUCUUACUGUAACCACUCUGGCUGAGAAUAUGGCGAGUAUCACCUAAAGCCAACAUGUCUCAGAGUCUCACCAAAGCCCCAUGACGUAAUAUUUGGGUAUCACUGCUGGUUAUUCAGGGCCCAAGGGCUUUUUAGUCAGCAAGUGAUGGAUUGUGCCAGGACUGGGUCCUUCCCUUCAAGGCAAUGGGUUCUCGUAUGUCGCAGGGUGUGUCUAGAAAUGUAGGCCAGGAGCUAGGUGUUGGAAUAGGGGCCUCCUGACUCUGAGUGGUGCUCUAUUCUACUGUGGCUGAGCUGGUAUCCAAGAUGCAAGACAAAAGUCCUCUUUACUCCUGCCUCUCCUCUCCUCAAGCAGAAGAAAGGUGUCUCUUUUGGAGCCACUAGCUGUGCUACCUGGGGUUGGGGAGAGGUAGCAUAAGCACUCUUUUAGCUGCUCUGUUGGUAUCUCAGUAGUUGCACUCCCCUGACAACUGCUGGCUCCAAACACAGCCUAGCACUAAGACUUGCCUUGGAGUUGCAGUCCUUGUGGCCUAUGCUGUCUUUCAAGUUUACUUACGGUUUCAGAGCACUUCAGCCCAUGGUGGGAAGGCUUGCUGGAACUCCGCGGUGAUGGAUGAUUCCCUUCUGGCUAGGGAUGGUCUAAAUGCUGCCUCCGUGGGCAGGCAUCAGCUGAGUUCAGCCAAUUCCCACUGUGACAGAACAGCUCUGAGUUUAAUACAAAGUCUCACAGUUGUGCUCUCCCUCUCCCAAGCACACAGAUUCUCUCUCUUUGCCACGCAGGUGGUUCAGGGGUAUAGGAGAAGGGUGGCAUUGGAAAUUCAAGACUAUCUUUCAUCCUUCUUCAGUGCCUCUUUCAGUGAUACGAAGUUAAAACUAGGUAUUAUGAGUGCUCACUUGAUUUUUAGUUCUUAUGAAGGUGCUUUUUUUGUGUGUAGAUAGUUAUUACAUUUGGUGUUCCUGUGAUGAGAGGAUGAUCAGUGGAGCCUUCUAUUCUGCCAUCUUGCUCUGCCCUCCUACCAAAUUUUUGAAUUAAGAUUUUAUAGAACAGCAGAACUGCUGUCAAUGAUAUAGAGUAAGGGAUUUAUUACAGGGAUUAGAACUUAGGCAACAGGUGAUGGAUCAUCAUUCAGGCUAUUGCUUUUGUAUCUAGUAUUGGGCAUGUUUUUCUUACAGCCAUGAUGGAGACAGAAAUGGAAACAGAAAAGGUCUCUUUAAGCCUAAGUUUGGAACUUCAGCACACCUUCAUUUUGGGCCUAUAUUUUGCCUAAAGUCAUAUCCACAAGCUGAAGGUCAAGAAGAUAGACCAGAAUCAUGUGGUCAAUUCCUCCUCAGCAAGCUGACUCUAAAACACAACUUAGCAAGGAUGGACUGAAGUUGGUGUUGUCUGUAAAAAUGGAAUUAAUGAUUCUCUGGUGGCCUUGCUUCUGCAAUGGGAAGAGUAAGGGUUUGGAAAACAGAUGAUCUGAGGUGAAAGACCCUUUUCCACCCACUGCUAAUGAUGUCACCUUCAGAAGGUCUCUACAGCUCUUUGGGUCUCAUGCAGCUCAUCAGAAAGAGACAGUAUUGAAGGGCCCAUCUAUUACUACAGGACUAGGGAACAUGGCUUUCCAAAGUCACAUAGUUAGAAAAAGAACGUGAGUGUUUUGACUUCUAGUCCAGUUUGUUUUCAUCAUAUUGUGCUGCUUCUCAGAUAGAACCCACUGUGACCAGUGAGGGGUCUUUAGAGAAAUGUGUUCCCAACACUAAUCUGGUAACUACUAUAGUAAAAAUAGCUAAUGUUUACUGAGCA